CCCGCUGAACUUAAGCAUAUCAAUAAGCGGAGGAAAAGAAACUAACAAGGAUUCCCCUAGUAACGGCGAGCGAACCGGGAACAGCCCAACUUGAAAAUCUCCCUUUGGAGAAUUGUAGUCUAUAGAAGCAUCCUCUGUAGCGUGCCAGGCCCAAGUCCUCUGGAAAGGGGCGUCAGAGAGGGUGAGAACCCCGUCGGCCUGUGCUUCGCUGCCUCACGAGGUGCUUUCGCAGAGUCGGGUUGCUUGGGAAUGCAGCCCAAAUUUGGUGGUAAAUCCCAUCUAAGGCUAAAUACUGGCGAGAGACCGAUAGCGAACAAGUACCGUGAGGGAAAGAUGAAAAGAACUUUGAAAAGAGAGUUAAAAAGUGCUUGAAAUUGUUGAGAGGGAAGCGAUUGGAGGCUAUGGGUGCGCCUAGGCUUAUGCGUCCUUAACGGGCCGCUGUAUGUGCUAGGUGCUGGUCAGCAAGGGUUAGGCUGGUAGGAAAAAAGCUGGGGUUGAUACCCGGCCUAUACUACCGGCUUGACCAAGGCGUGAAGACUGCCCUUGUCCUUCGGGAACUGCAGUCUCAAGUUGCUGGCGGAAGGUUUCCAAUCGGCCCGUCUUGAAACACGG
rnacentral:rRNA from 1 species